rnacentral:rRNA from 1 species
AUUGAACGCUGGCGGCAUGCUUUACACAUGCAAGUCGAACGGCAGCGCGGGCUUCGGCCUGGCGGCCAGUGGCGAACGGGUGAGUAAUGCAUCGGAACGCGCCCAGUAGUGGGGGAUAGCCCGGCGAAAGCCGGAUUAAUACCGCAUACGACCUGAGGGUGAAAGCGGGGGACCGAAAGGCCUCGCGCUAUUGGAGCGGCCGAUGUCGGAUUAGCUAGUUGGUGGGGUAAAGGCUUACCAAGGCGACGAUCCGUAGCUGGUCUGAGAGGACGACCAGCCACACUGGGACUGAGACACGGCCCAGACUCCUACGGGAGGCAGCAGUGGGGAAUUUUGGACAAUGGGGGCAACCCUGAUCCAGCCAUGCCGCGUGCGGGAAGAAGGCCUUCGGGUUGUAAACCGCUUUUGUUCGGGAAGAAAUCCUCUGGGCUAAUACCCCGGGGGGAUGACGGUACCGGAAGAAUAAGCACCGGCUAACUACGUG